UAGAUCAGCUCAUACUCAAUCUGAUGCAUUAUGUCCGUUUUAGACAGCUCCUUGUGUAUGGAUAGGACUUUUCAACGUAAAUGCAGAAAGGGAUUUCAAUCAUGUAUAAUUAUUAUGUUCACACAGUAGAACUGAGGGUAACAGCUCCCUGAGCCUAGCCGAAUACUGGGCACUGAAACUCGGAUGAGGACUUCAGAUCGACGCCCACCAAACUCUCUCCCCUCAGAAUGGUGCUCGAAUCAAGCCCUCUGUGAUGGAUGAGGGAGAGAAGGUCUUCCAGUGAUAGCAACAGUUCCUAUGACAACCAGACCUCCACCGGGGGAUUGCGUCUGUCAGACAGUGCUAAUGAUAAUUGAGAGGCUGGAGUGGGCAGACGUGCGGGUUUGCCCACAGGAAGCCGUGAAUUCCUUGAAGAACAGAGGGUGUCAGGGCCCAGAAUGCGACUUGGGGGGGGGGGGGUCUUACUGUACCUUGUAACGUCUCAUAAUCCUCCUAGUUAACCCCUGACCCCGGCCUGUGUUUGUAUCAGGUCAUCAACGUGAGAAAUCGUAAUGAGUCACUCCAGCAGUGUGUUUACCUUCUGGAGUCACGCAAGGAAGGAAAUAAGGCACGGUCUUCUAAAAGUGGCAAAGUGAGAGAGAAUAGCAGCAGUAUUAGAGCAGAGCCCUGAUUCAUCUCACUGUGACUGGCCUCUUGUACCGUUACACUGGGUUUAUUUAACCUAUUCACUACUGUAGGGAGACUAGCUACAGAUCAGCCAAAACAGGGAGUAAGUCUACAAUAUAGCGUACUGUAUGAAAAUAUAAGGUAUGAGAUUAAUAGUGUAAUUCUGUAAUUGAAGUCUGAUCCGUACCCCAACUCAUUGAGUGAAAUGAUCCAUGUACUGCAGUAUGUGGAUACAACUUAUUUUUGCUAUCACUGUGUAAUAUGUUGCUAAUAGACCGAACAUGUAUUGUUUUUGUCAUCAUUUUCUGUUGUUUGUUGCAGUCAUUUUUGUUUUUUUGCUAUGCCCAAUGAAAUUUGGAGAGAUUUAGUAUUUUCCUUUGUCUGAUGCAACAAUCAUAAAUUAUGUGUAUGUGAUUUUUCUAUUUAAUAAUAAUUUAUUGCAAUAUAUUUCUGACUCCAAGAUAUAGAUUAUAUCUGGAAGAUCCCUUGCAAUAUGCUUUGAAGGAGAAAUCUCUGCACUCCCAAAUACAUUGUUUUAAUCUUGAACUUACAUUGAGCUCUUGAAACUGUUGAAACUGAAAUGAGUAUGCAACUGUGGCCAACGCCUGUGAUUAAAAUACAAUGUCCUGGCCUACCGUCACGCUGUAGCCUUCCACACCGUGGGCUUGUGUGAUUGCGCAAUUGUUGUUUUUGAGCAAGUGCCCCUGUUAGUUUUACUCUGUAAAUAAAUAUGUGCUCCGAGCUGACAAUUCA